GGGCCCCUCGGGGCCCAACCUCCCACCCAUGUUGCCCGAACCUAUGUUGCCUCGGCGGGCCCCGCGCCCGCCGACGGCCCCCCUGAACGCUGUCUGAAGUUGCAGUCUGAGACCUAUAACGAAAUUACUUAAAACUUUCAACAACGGAUCUCUUGGUUCCGGCAUCGAUGAAUAACGCAGCGAAAUGCGAUAACUAAUGUGAAUUGCAUAAUUCAGUGAAUCAUCGAGUCUUUGAACGCACAUUGCGCCCUCUGGUAUUCCGGAGGGCAUGCCUGUCCAAGCGUCAUUGCUGCCCUCAAGCCCGGCUYGUGUGUUGGGCCCCGUCCCCCCYGCCGGGGGGACGGGCCCGAAAGGCAGCGGCGGCACCGCGUCCGGUCCUCGAGCGUAUGGGGCUUCGUCACCCGCUCUAGUAGGCCCGGCCGGCGCCAGCCGACCCCCAACCUUUAAUUAUCUCASGUUGACCUCSGAUCAGGUAGGGAUACCCGCUGAACUUAAGCAUAUCARUAARCGGAGGAAAAGAAACCAACCGGGAUUGCCCUAGUAACGGCGAGUGAAGCGGCRAGAGCUCAAAUUUGAAAGCUGGCCCCCUCGGGGUCCGCAUUGUAAUUUGCASASGAUGCUUCGGGAACGGCCCCCAUCUAAGUGCCCUGGAACGGGCCGUCAUAKAGGGUGAGAAUCCCGUCUGGGAUGGGGUGGCCGCGCCCGUGUGAAGCUCCUUCGACGAGUCGAGUUGUUUGGGAAUGCAGCUCUAAUUGGGUGGUAAAUUUCAUCUAAAGCUAAAUAUUGGCCGGAGACCGAUAGCGCACAAGUAGAGUGAUCGAAAGAUGAAAAGCACUUUGAAAAGAGAGUUAAACAGCACGUGAAAUUGUUGAAAGGGAAGCGCUUGCGACCAGACUCGCCCGCGGGGUUCAGCCGGCACUCGUGCCGGUGUACUUCCCCGCGGGCGGGCCAGCGUCGGUUUGGGCGGCCGGUCAAAGGCCUCUGGAAGGUAACGCCUCUCGGGGCGUCAUGGAGCCAGGGGUGCCAUGCGGCCUGCCCGGACCGAGGAAC
rnacentral:rRNA from 1 species